rnacentral:rRNA from 1 species
AUUGAACGCUGGCGGCAGGCCUAACACAUGCAAGUCGAACGAGUGGCGGACGGGUGAGUAAUGUCUGGGAACCUGCCUGAUGGUGGGGGAUAACUACUGGAAACGGUAGCUAAUACCGCAUACCAUCGGAUGUGCCCAGAUGGGAUUAGCUGGUUGGUGGGGUAAAGGCUCACCUAGGCGACGAUCCCUAGCUGGUCUGAGAGGAUGACCAUCCACACUGGAACGGAGACACGGUCCAGACGCCUACGGGAGGCAGCAGUGGGGAAUAUUGCACAAUGGGCGCAAGCCUGAUGCAGCCAUGCCGCGUGUAUGAAGAAGGCUUUCGGGUUGUAAAGUACUUUCAGCGGGGAGGCGUUACCCGCAGAAGAAGCACCGGCUAACUCCGUGCCAGCCGCCGCGGUAAUAC